rnacentral:lncRNA from 1 species
UUUCAAAGCAAAUUUACAUUCAGAAUUAAAAAUUCCAGCCAUUCUAGGCUUGAGCUGGGUUUUUUUUUGUUUCUCCCUGAGCAUGUGAAGAAUUCAGAAGUGCUCUUACAAGCAGGGGGGAUAAAACCACACAGUGCAGAUGCUGAGAGGCAGCAUCAGUGAGCUGAGAAGUGAUUAUGCUGCACCCCUGGGCAACGAGGCUGUCACCAGACCUCCAAACAAGAUGUGAGAAUCUGGGACAGUUCUUUGCUUGGCACUUCCCCUGCCUGGCUCCCAGUCAGGAAUGAAACCCCAGCACUGCCCAAAGGCAGAUCUGGGGAGCAGGAGGGGUCACACCCAGGGCACACCCAGCCAGAAAUGAAGGAAUGAAACAGGGGAAGUGACAACUCGUGGCUUUUGCUGCAAGCCAGAGCUCAGCUGAUGACUUGUCACACAGCAGCUGCAGCUCCGAAUUGUUACAGGACAGCUGGAAUCACUGCUUGCCAUAAAACACCUCGACUUUUGGCUCUGCUGCCCACCCAGACCCCAUGGAAGCAUCCAGUGCAGGGAUCCAGCAUCGCUCGUGGUGAGGGAGCAAACUCAGCUGAGACUGGGAUGGCAGCGCUGAGGAAAUGCAGGCACAGCCACGGGAGAAUGAAAGAAAUCUGGGAAGAGCAGCCAACAACAGGAAUGCCAAAAAUGCACCAAAAAUGCCACAAUAGGAACCAGUGCCAGGUUUGGGCCUGGUUUUGCUCUCUCCUUGCAAGGACUCCCUAAAAGGUUGAUGACAAAGAUCUUCUGCUUCAUCUCUCUCAUCUCUUUUUUAUUUCCUUUCUCUACCUCACAUUUACUGUGCAAUAAAAUCUGAACUACUGACUCCAGCACGUGGUCUCCUGUGCAGAUGAAUUUGGGCAGAGGAAUCUCUCAAUAUUUGGAUUUUAGCAUCAUCCCAAGGGGGUCAGGAGUGUCCCCAGCACUGCAGUCCACUGCCACCUUCCUCAGCUGAGAAAUGAGUUAUUUAAUUCACUUCCCUUUGAAGUGCUUGAAUACAAUGCCACGCUGGAAAUGAAAAAUAAAAGUGUCAUUCAACAGAGAAACACAAUUUACAGUAAUUACUCAUGUCUGCAGAAUACAUAGGAAAAAAAACCCAAGGGAAAUUAAAAAUCCUGUAAAUAGCCUCACUGGAGAAUAGCUGGAGAGACCCCAUACAAUAACCCAGUGUUUACACUGAUCCCCACCCUUCUGCAUCCCCAAGAAGAUGGCAACUGCAAGCCUGAAAUUCAGUUUAGAGCCAUGGAAAAGUCCAAAAGGAGAAUGAGAGGAAAUUGAAAUGUUGGACCUCACAUUUCCCAUUACUGCUAAAACCCAGGAGAGAGGAAAACCCUGAAUUUCAGUGCUCAGCAUCACUGGAGUGCUUGCUCUGUUUUCCAUCAAUAAUUUCCACACAUGCUGCAAUUUGCUGAUUGCUCACAGGGCAAGGUGAGGAUGGGAAGUGGAAAAGCCUUACCUGGUUAGUGCAGGGUGCAGCCACAGCCUGGCUUCACACAUCAAACUUCUGGCACAGGAAGGUCCCCAAAAGGCCACAAGAAGUGACAGGGAAGGUGUUUAACAUGGAGACCUCAACCAGCCAGUGAAGUGAGAUGUAUCACAUUAAAAAUGUGUUUGAUGUGUGGGCAUGAACUCACAGCUGUACCUGCACCCACGUGAAUCUCUAUUCAUGUAUCACAAACAAAUACAUUUUCCUGCAAACUUUCCAUCCUUUUCCUCUGUAAAGUCACACAGAACUACAGCCAAGGUACAGAAAAAUGCCUGUGUUAAGACAAAAAUGAAUUUAAAAACAUUUUUACCUUCAGAAUUUGUGGCAGCAUGGGAGACAUCUCAGUAAUCAUAGAUGUCAAUUACAGGAACCAGCUUCAGGAGUGACCUUUGUGUUGAGCUUCCCAGUGAAAAGAAAUGUGAUUAAAAAGCAAACGACCCCUGUCCAACAAAUCUUGGGUGGUUUUGUGUGGGAUUGCUCUGUGCACCUGUAAAAUCCACCCUCACUCCCAGGCUGGGACUCAGGGAAAUGGAAUUAAAGAAUCUCCUUCUAUCCUGGCCCUGUGAGCUGACUUUCACUAAGUGAAUUCAAGCUGCUUUUCAAGAAGUGAAAAUUAGUAGCCACUGAAAUUCUGUUUUUUUCCACUGUCCAGGAACUGGGCACCUCUGAAUUGCUUCUUCCAGGGACAUUUGUGUCACGAAGCCCUGGGGAGCUGCUCUCAAGUGUGAGCAGAGGGACAGCACCUGGGGGAAGUUAAUCCCUGGCCUGUCCCAAAUGGUGAAAACCUGAUCCCUGCGGAUGCUGCCAAUUCCCUGGCCAAGAUCUGCUGUGGAAAAGAUGGAAGGGAAGCAAGCAGAAAUAUGGAUUUGAAUCAAGUCUGAGUGGGGACUUUGGGCAUGGAGGCACUGGGAGGAUAAAGAGGAGAUAAAGAAACCAGAUCAUCCCAAUGUCAGCUUCACAGGGGUGGGCAAAGCAAAAGACUCCUUGGACCAUUUAGGGAUGAAUUCCCACAGGAAUGGGGCAGAUGGAAGGGACAGAUAUCGCCACUGGGUAAAGUCUCUACAACAAGUUUCUUUUCUGAGCUGUUUCAUACUGAGCUCUCUUCUCUGCAUUAGCUCAGCUGGGUCCCAAAGAACCUGACAAGGAAUUCCCAAGGCAUGGGAUGCUCUGGCCUCGAGCGGAUCGGAAAGAAGAGAGCAAACCAUGGGAAAUAACAACAUAAUAUAAUCCUGGGACUGUUCACUGCCUGUAAGGAUUAGCAGCUGGCUUUGCUCAGGUGUGAUUUUACCCCACUUUGAGCAGGGUAAAUCCAUUCUGCCUGGGCUCUACCCAGCCUAGGAGCUGUUAGAUUGUAAAAGCAGUGACAAUUCGGGUCUGAGAGCCUGAUUUUCAGUUCCUAGGCUCAGCUUGCAUAUUUGUAAAACACACACACAGAUGAGAUUUGGAGUCUGUACUGUGAGACCCAUUUGGAAGUGCAGCUCUUGUUUGAGGAGUCUCACAGGGCUGAAUUAUAACACUUGCAUGAGCACAGGAAUUUGCUGAGGACAUGUGAAAACAAACACAUUAUCAGAAAUACAAUUUACAGGCAUUCACCAAAAGGUCAAUGGAAAGCUCUUCCCAUCCUUUAGGAAGCAAAUGGAAGGGAAAAGAGGAAAAUUCACCCAGCAUCACAGCAUGAGCUCCCUGCAGCAAGAGCAGCCUCUAAAGCAAUCCUCAAUUAAAUGCAAGACUUACAGAAUUAAAGUAUUGAUACAUUAUUGACUAUGGAUAUCUGAUUGACUGCAGCCAAGAAUCCUUCCCUGCCUGCUCCUCUUGAGCAGGGAUUGUAUGAACAAAACAAAGAGGGAAUUGCAGGGUGAGAUCCAGCAGUAAAUCCUGAGACACUCCAGGAGCUGAUUUCACAGCAAGGAGAUCCAAAGUGUGUGAUCCAAAGUGACACCGUGGUUUAGGGCAGAAAAAUGAGAAUAUGUAAUUGACCACUGGAGCCACUUUUUAUGAGAAGGGCAAUUUUUCUGCCUUGGUAACAACAGUGUUGUUUUACUGCUGUGUAAAGUCACUUCUGCUUGGAUCUUGCAUCGUGUAGCAGGUACCUGAGGUGGAAAAUAUGACAUAAAACUCAUCUGUUUUCUGAAGCAUUCACUUAGAGACACCCAAGCCAUCAUUUUGGGCAUGGACAGCACACAGGGAUGGAUGUUCUUAGUGCUGAUGUGUGUUUUAGCUCCAACCUGCAGGGACAACCACAACAGUAC